rnacentral:miRNA from 1 species
AGUGAGUGAUAUUCUAUUCCAUG